UUUCCUACGGGGGGCAGCAGUCGGGAAUAUUGCGCAAUGGAGGAAACUCUGACGCAGUGACGCCGCGUAUAGGAAGAAGGUCUUCGGAUUGUAAACUAUUGUCAUUAGGGAAGAGAAAGGACAGUACCUAAAGAGGAAGCUCCGGCUAACUACGUGCCAGCAGCCGCGGUAAUACGUAGGGAGCAAGCGUUAUCCGGAUUUAUUGGGUUUAAAGGGUGCGCAGGCGGUCUGUUAAGUCAGCGGUCAAAGCCCGGGGCUCAACCCCGGCCCGCCGUUGAAACUGGCAGUCUCGAGUUGGAGAGAAG
rnacentral:rRNA from 1 species